rnacentral:pre_miRNA from 1 species
GAUAUCAAGGAACUUGUGAUUUAUGCCAUAACUAACAUAACCUCGACAUAUCACAGUUUACUUGCUGUCGC